rnacentral:rRNA from 1 species
CAGCCGCCGCGGGAAUACGUAGGGUGCAAGCGUUAAUCGGAAUUACUGGGCGUAAGGCGUGCGCAGGCGGUUUGUUAAGACAGAUGUGAAAUCCCCGGGCUCAACCUGGGAACUGCAUUUGUGACUGGCAAGCUAGAGUGUGGCAGAGGGGGUGGAAUUCCGCGUGUAGCAGUGAAAUGCGUAGAUAUGCGGAGGAACACCGAUGGCGAAGGCAAUCCCCUGGGCCUGCACUGACGCUCAUGCACGAAAGCGUGGGGAGCAAACAGGAUUAGAUACCCCAGUAGUCCCUGUCUCUUAUCCC